AAAAUGAAGGAGGAACACAAAGGAUCUGAAAAAUUAAACGCAGAGAAGGUGGGAUUUUAAGAGAUAAGCAAAGAUGUUUUUGAGGCAAAAAUAGGCAGAGGGCACAUACGACAGCGCACAGCGAUAGAAUUAGACUUCUGCUGGGGGAGGACGACUUGGCCCAGGUCAACAGCGUAAGAGACCUGAAGCAGUAAAUGCGAGCAGAUGUACCCUACCAUCAGCACCGGGGGUUCCAGGGCCAGCUUGGCCACUGAAGAACAACUGUCCUCGGGGAAACCUCGAGCUCUGUCACCUCGACCACAGGAACAGCUGCUCUCUCUGGAAGUCCAGAAGCAGAGACCCAAGACUGCUGCCCUCCUCUGUGCGAAUCACUCACCAGGGUCUCAAACAGCACCCAUCUGACACGCACCUUUGGACUUCCUCUCCCCAAACUGGCUCUCCAUUUAAGUAAAUAAAAAUACUUCCAAAGUCCUCAGAGCCCAAAUAAUGAAGUUAUCCCAUACUCUGCAUGAAAGGGGCCAAUAAUCCCCUUGUCUGCUCCUUUGAAUUGGGGGCUAGAGGCCCAGGCAGCCAGGUUGAGCCACACCUGCCUAUGCCCAGGCCUUACUCCUGCAGGGGAUCUAACUGGGGUGGCCACAGGCAAGGUAAGUGCCACAGCGUUGUACAUCAGGUAGGACUUUUGCCUUGCACUCGGCCAGUCAGGGCUUGAUCUCAGCACCUCACCUGGUCCUCGAGCAAACCAGAAGUGAUCCCUGAACACAGAUCCAGGAGUAAGCCCUGAGCACAGCCAGGUGUGGCCACAGAACAAGCAACAACAACAUAAAGGCAAGUGCCGUAGCUGCUGUGCUCCUCUGGAAGCCAUGUUGUUCUCCCUUGCCCUUGACGUGGUCAUCCUCAGUUGUCCACACUGUCUUGGUUGCCAUUGUGUCUUCCCGGUGUGGCGCAGGGGUCAUAUUCUGCGAUGGUUCAGGGCUGGCUCUGGGAUGGGAAGCAGAGGGGCCCGCACUUCCAGGGGACAUGUUGGCCUCGACUGUUGGCCCACAUCCCCUGGCCCUUUGGGAUCUUUUCCAAACGUGAUCACUUCUUGCCUCCUCCUCCCCUGGCACCCCAGUUCUACCCCCUCUCUUUUCUCCCUUGGGGUGUUGAGACUGUCCCCACAAUAGCCAUUCUCGGCCAGACUCCCUCUCCUCUGCUCAGAACCCCACGGCUCUCCAGCUUGUUCGUGGACAACUAUGCCCACGGGGUCCGCACGGCCCCUUCCGGCAUGGGCCCCUGCCUCUCUGCACGUCCUUGUUUCCCACACUCACCUCCUCCCUGCGUCCAGCAUCUGGGCCUUGGCUCUGCAGCUUCUCUGCCCGAAGCUCUGCGGUGAGAUGCCCCUUCCUUCACCUCCUCGUCUUGGAUCGAACAUGAGUCAGUUCAUCAGAACUGACUUUCAAGAGUGACGCAGGUACCGAUAGCCAGGAGUAGCACUCCCUAUUGGACGGAGGUAAAGUGGAAGGCAACCGAUGUCGGUUACCGAGAUACAAACACACAGGGCUGUCACAACAUGUUAGUAAUCUCUUACACACC